UACGUAGGGUGCAAGCGUUAAUCGGAAUUACUGGGCGUAAAGCGCGCGUAGGCGGCUUUGCAAGUCGGGUGUGAAAUCCCCAGGCUUAACCUGGGAACUGCAUUCGAGACUGCAUUGCUAGAGUAUGGGAGAGGGAAGUGGAAUUUCAGGUGUAGCGGUGAAAUGCGUAGAUAUCUGAAGGAACAUCAGUGGCGAAAAGCGACUUCCUGGACCAAUACUGACGCUCAUGUGCGAAAAGCGUGGGGGAGCA
rnacentral:rRNA from 1 species